GAACGAGAAAGUGGAGCAAUCCAUGAGUAAAGUGGCGACCGGGUGAGUAACACGUGACUAACCUGCCCUAGAGUGGGGGAUAACCUCGGGAAACCGGGGCUAAUACCGCAUAACAUCGCGAGGGGAAGAUCCUUGCGAUCAAAGGAGCAAUUCGCUCAAGGAGGGGGUCGCGGCUGAUUAGCUAGUUGGUGAGGUAACGGCUCACCAAGGCUAAGAUCAGUAGCCGGCCUGAGAGGGCGCACGGCCACACUGGAACUGAAACACGGUCCAGACUCCUACGGGAGGCAGCAGUGGGGAAUUUUGCGCAAUGGGGGAAACCCUGACGCAGCAACGCCGCGUGGAGGAUGAAGUCCCUUGGGAUGUAAACUCCUUUCGACGGGGAAGAAACCGCAAGGUUGACGGUACCCGUAGAAGAAGCCCCGGCUAACUCCGUG
rnacentral:rRNA from 1 species